rnacentral:miRNA from 1 species
CACAUGGCACUCAACUCUGCAG